UACGGGGGAUGCAAGCGUUAUCCGGAAUUAUUGGGCGUAAAGCGUCCGCAGGUGGUUGUGCAAGUCUGCUGUUAAAGAGUGAGGCUCAACCUCAUAAAAGCAGUGGAAACUACACGGCUAGAGUGCGUUCGGGGCAGAGGGAAUUCCUGGUGUAGCGGUGAAAUGCGUAGAUAUCAGGAAGAACACCGGUGGCGAAAGCGCUCUGCUAGGCCGCAACUGACACUGAGGGACGAAAGCUAGGGGAGCGAAUGGG
rnacentral:rRNA from 1 species